UUCAAAAAUAUUAUACCGUUAUAUCAUAUCUUUCAAAACCGGUAAGAGCUCAUAAUAUAUCAUAUAUUUAGUAUGGAUGGCCAUUUUCAUAUCAUAUCAUAUCAUUAACUUUCAUUAGCAUAGUAUUUAAAAACAUAAGGAAAUAAAUUAAACAUGAUAAACCACUAGCACCUCAUGGUCCUACCUUAAACUUUUGAAAAUCUUGAGUUGAUGCCUACAAAAAUUCAGACACUACAACAAAAGCAGUCUUUUGCAACGUUUGUUAAAAAACAUUGCCGUAAGUGUUUCGCAACAAUUUUUUUUUAUAUAGUAAUUUAUGUAAAUUGACUCACAAAAUUGAAAAUGACAAAUUUUGGAAUUGUAUAAAAAUGAUAAUUUCAUUACAAAUUUUUGAAAUAGUUUAGUAUAUGUAGUAGCAAAAAAAAAGAGGAUUAUCAUUUCUUCUUUGGGAGGAAUAAUGAUAUAGUUUGGUAUGCAUAGUAGCAAAAGAAAUAUUUCAACAAAUUCUAAUACAGGUAAAGAAAGGAAUUUAUUGGAGACUUUCAUUUCCAAUUCUAACUAUAAUCUCAUUCCCAGCACAACACGUUCCUAGGAGUAAAAAGCAUGCUUCAACCCGCCUUAAAUAUAAGGUAGACCAUCUUAUUCCUUAAUACCAUGCUUUUAACUCUACUUGCUCUAUGUUUCAAUCAAAAACAGAGGCUAUAAACAGGUGUAAGAAAAAUCAGAACACACUUAAAGUGAAGAGAGAUUAAAAUAGUAUAUCACUUAUACUAUCAACCAAUAUUGAUUAGACCAGAGAACUCACAGUGUCAACAUUGAUAUAGUGUCAUCUAGUAGCUGAUAAAUGGCAUAAAUUAUGAUGCUAGAAUAACAUGACCAUGCAAAUGUAGCUACUCAGGGUAUCAACUGAUAUAGGGUUGCAGCUUAUGAUUAUAUAACCAUGUAACGAUGCGAAUACAAAGAGAUGUGAAGCCUCGAACUGUGAAAGAAGAAAUAAAGCAUUGAAAUAGUCUAAACGGGGGUAAAGCUAAUGACAAGAUAAUUUCUUCUGAGCAUGUGUUGUAUACAAAAAAAACAAAAAAUUGAUACACACAUCUACCUUACAAAUACAAAUCCAUUCCUACCUUCAUUUUUUUCUUUUUCCAUCAUCAAAUUUAUAUUAAUUGCCUUCAUGAAUGGUGGUUCACCAGGAGCAGGACUUCUGUAGAAUGUGCCUGCCAUGGGGCAUUUAAGUGGGGAAAGAAAUAAGCUUGAUUUCUUCACAACUUGUGAGCCUAGAAUGAAGAAAAGAAACUCGCAAAAAGUCUCAUCCCAACUCAAAUAGAAAAGUAAGCAAGAAAUGGAAAGCUAUUAGAGAGCUUGAGUUGUAGCAUAAUAUCUGACCCAAAUAGAGCAAGGGCAGCUACUUCUCGAUAUCAUGCCAACAACUAACAAGCCAUGUUUACACAACCAAAUUUGUAAUGGCAAAAAUAAAUUUAUCGGACCUCAAAAGUAUUUUAAUAAGGGAAGAAUCUAUCUCCCACAGGGGCUGCAAUUUAUGGCCAUUUAAUCAGGUAAUUGUUAACUUGCGGUAGUCCUUAUUUUUUGUUGUUUACGGAUGAUGCCUAUCAAUAAAAUUUCUAUUUGUUGCAGUAAAAGGGAAAUUUAUGUACUAGCAUAUAUAGCUAAGCAUUAUACAUAUCGUUCCAGCAAAAGGGAAAUUAGAAAUUUUCGUUCACUUACCCAAAAUUUCUUAAAACCGAAGGAAGACUUAAAAGCAAACACUCAAAUCUACCAAACUAGUUCUUUAUAUUUAGCUUUUGAGUGAGAAACACGGAUUGAAUAUAAUCCUAAAUCCUAAUCCCAUUUUUUAUUCCCAUUCAAUAUUUAAAAGGAACUAGAAUAUAUUAGCAAUAAAUCCUAUUCCCAGAUCCCAUUCAAUAUAAUCUUAAUCCUAUUCAAUAUUUGAUCAAUAAAUCAUAAUCCCAUGAUGUGAUUCCCUAAUCCUAUCAAAAUUUGAAAAUAAUCCCACCACCCACUACCUAGCGCACGACAGUAAUGGCACAAAAUCCUCUGGCUCCACAGCUCACCCCAAAUCAGAUUCUCAAUCUUAAAAUAUUUUAAAAGAACAAGAAAAAAAUAUAAACAAAAUGAGUACCUCCGUAGCAGUGGCAAACGAUAGGGGCGAGAGAGGACAUUGAGGUAUAAUUUGAGACUGAAGAAAUCGUGAUUUGAAAAAUUGGGAUUUGGUUUCCGCUGAUGGUAUUGAUGGAAGAAAGACGAUGCAUGCGACACCAUAUCGUGCUCUCAAAGAGAUGAGAAUGAGAGGCUGAGAGAAAAAUUCAAAGUCGUCGUGCUUUCGUAAUCGUCCGUUCUCAUAAAUUAGCUGAUGAAUGUGUGAUUGGUGAGGGUUCAGAUAUAUUGGAUUGAAUUUUGGGUUUACUCUUGAGUUGGGCUGCUGGUGAUGGUGUGCUAAAAGAAAAAAUGGAGCUUGGGUUGACGAGCCUUUUCGCAACGUUUAGAAAACGUUGCAAAAAGCUUUCUCUUUCGCAACAUUUUUUAAAUGUUGCUAAAGAGAAACCAAUGGCAACAUUCAUUUAUUAGAAUGUUACAAUGGACCCUUUUAACAUCAUUUAAUUAGUGAAUGCUGCCUUUUGCAUGUUGCAAAAAGGUAUUUUUGUUGUAUUGAGAUUUUGUAUCGAAGAGUAUAUUUUGACUCACAAGUUGACACAAUUUUAACUUGAUUAUUUGGUAGAUCUUAUGGAUAUAAAACAUUUUUGAUGUGUUUGUUAGUAUUGUUUUAUAGAUAGACGAGGUGGUGUAAAAUGGGUGCUAAAGUGAAUAAACCAAUCAAAAACUCAGAAGAAAGCUAGCGCCUAGACGCCAUACUGGGAGCGCUUAAACGAAAAUUCAUAAUAGCAACAUGGCGCCCAGGCUCCGCAAAGGAAUAGCAAAAGAGCAAAAGGGCAGCUCCUAGGCCUGACCUAGAAGUGUAGCACGGUGCUCAGGAGCUAUCAUCUGGUGCUUAGGCGCUGUACCAUUAGUUUUAGGUCUUGAACAAUUUUUACCCUUGAAAAGCCCAAAAAGACUUCCAAAUUGGAAAAAAAAACAUGAAGAAGAGUAUAAAUAGAAAAAUGGAGGCAUUUAAAGGGGGAUUCCACACAUUGAGAGGCACAAGAUACAACUUGGGAAUUCAAGAGGAAAUCAAAAAGGGAGAAAAACAAGAAACUAAGAGCUAGGGUUUGAUAUCAAGCUUAAUGGCAAGAAGAGAAUUUGGUGCAAGAUUUAUAAUUUUUUAUCCAUCUCAAUUCAAAAUUCGAUAAUGUACUCAAUGCAGAUCUUUUGUUUUUUCUUUCAUUAUUAUGAGUAGUUAUAUUUCAUAAAGGACAAACAAUGUACUUUUUUGAGAUCAUUUAUUUAUUUUAUUCAAAUUCUUUCAUUAUUUAUAUGUUGAUUUUAAUCAUGUACAUAAUACUUUAGAUUACUUGAUCAUUAAUUCAAUGAUUUUGUGAAUUUAUUAUGAAUCGAGUGGUGAGUUUUAAAUUUAUACUACAUAUUAAAUUUCGUUAAUCCAGUAUAACGUGUAGAGAUAACUAUACUAUUUCCCGCGAUCUUUGAUGAAUUCUUAGAACUAAUGUUUCAUUUAACAAAGCUUGAUUCAUACAGAGAUAUGAGAUUGAAUUAGUUAAAUAUGUUCAAUAAGAACUCGAGAUGAAUGAAUUGAAUACAAUAGAAGAAUUUGAUUGAACACUGCAUUAGGUUAUGAGUCUUGAAUUAAGAUUUAAAUGUUAUCAAUAGAUGAAAUUGUUGCGCCCUAAUAUCUAUUCCAUAUUUGAAACACUAAAUCGAUCUUUAUAUGCAUCCAUUUAUUCUCAAAAAGUCAUACAAGAAAUCAUAACAAAUCCUACUCUUUGUUUGUUUGCAUUCGACAAUAGUUAGAAAUAGUAAGUUAAGCAUAAAAGUCUCGUCUUUGUGCCAGACUCAAAAAUCAAUCAUAUUACUUGAUACGAUAUCAUAUACUUGCAGGAUAUAAAAAUUGACAACAUCUUCAAGUUGUCCAAAAAAUUAUAAAAAGAUUUGCUUUCUUCGUAAAAGAUGGAGGAUUAUGAAGGUUCUUUUUUUUUUUUGUUGCUAGAAAUAAAAUGGAAAUAAAAUGAUAAUUAUAUAAUAGAAGAUAAAUGAAGGAUGCAUUUGAUUGUCAAUAUUUUUCAUGAAAAAUGUGUUUUUUCCACCAAAAUUCCUACUUUUGUACUGUUCGAUUGUCUUUUUUUUCCAUGGAAAAUAUUUUCCUACUUUUAGUCAUGUGGCCAUAUUUUCCUCAAAAUCAAGGAAAAUAUUUUCUUUAGAGGGAGUAAAAUUUUAUUUCCAAGGAAUUCAGUCUCUUUUUCUCUCUCCUUUAUCUAUCCACUCUCUUUCAUCUAUCCACCAAUAAAAAACGGACAAGUAUAAUAUUUUCUACGUUGAAAAUGAAAUCAACCAAACACAUUUAAUUGACAAUUUUCAUGUAAAUAAAUUCUAGGGAAUUAAAUUACUUAUAAUUUAUUUUCUUUCUAUGUAAAUUCCAUGUUUGCAAUCAAAUGCACCCUAAGAAAUAUUUGAAAGAAAAAUAAACGUGAGUUUAGGAGAUAAUGAACAGGAAAUAACAAAUAAGAAAUAUCCACUCUUUUUUAAAUGUAUUAAAAAUUAUUUUAUUAAAUAUAAAAUAAUCCCCAUUAAUUACAAUCUUUGUAUUGAAAUAACUUGGACUUAACUUAUAUGAACUAACUAUUUCUCUAGCCGCGGACUUCUGAUUAAUUAAAGUUAUGGAAGGAGUCCAAUAUUGAUAUAUUAAUUAUCACCUUAUGAAUAAUUAAUUAUUUGACCUAAAAUAAUAUUGAAUUUAAUACUAGUUUGCCUUAGUCCAUCAACUUUUCAAUAUUUACAAAAAUAUAGCAAUAGAACAAGUAGUUUUAUUCUAUAAAAAUUUCUGUAAGCAAAAAUGGAUAAUAUCUGAAAGUAAUCUUUUCUAAUGAAAUGUGAUCGGGACUCUAUGAAGCUGAAGUGGAAAAAAUAGAAAUUAUCCAAAGUUCCGUCUAAAUGUAGAUGCUUUGUCGUACGUGUUGAUUAAGUAAUUAACUCAAUCAAUAAAAAGAAAGAGAAAACUUCAAGAGAAAAACUUAAGAUUAAUUUCUUAGCGAACUUGAAUCAUGAGGCCCUUUGUUACUGUUUUUAGAGUAUUAUAUUUUCUCUCUUGAAGUUUUUUAUAUUUUAAUGUGUGUUCGUGACACAUAGAAGAAAAUAUUGGAUUAUUAAAAAUAUAUAUAUAUANNNNNNNNNNNNNNNNNNNNNNNNNNNNNNNNNNNNNNNNNNNNNNNNNNNNNNNNNNNNNNNNNNNNNNNNNNNNNNNNNNNNNNNNNNNNNNNNNNNNNNNNNNNNNNNNNNNNNNNNNNNNNNNNNNNNNNNNNNNNNNNNNNNNNNNNNNNNNNNNNNNNNNNNNNNNNNNNNNNNNNNNNNNNNNNNNNNNNNNNNNNNNNNNNNNNNNNNNNNNNNNNNNNNNNNNNNNNNNNNNNNNNNNNNNNNNNNNNNNNNNNNNNNNNNNNNNNNNNNNNNNNNNNNNNNNNNNNNNNNNNNNNNNNNNNNNNNNNNNNNNNNNNNNNNNNNNNNNNNNNNNNNNNNNNNNNNNNNNNNNNNNNNNNNNNNNNNNNNNNNNNNNNNNNNNNNNNNNNNNNNNNNNNNNNNNNNNNNNNNNNNNNNNNNNNNNNNNNNNNNNNNNNNNNNNNNNNNNNNNNNNNNNNNNNNNNNNNNNNNNNNNNNNNNNNNNNNNNNNNNNNNNNNNNNNNNNNNNNNNNNNNNNNNNNNNNNNNNNNNNNNNNNNNNNNNNNNNNNNNNNNNNNNNNNNNNNNNNNNNNNNNNNNNNNNNNNNNNNNNNNNNNNNNNNNNNNNNNNNNNNNNNNNNNNNNNNNNNNNNNNNNNNNNNNNNNNNNNNNNNNNNNNNNNNNNNNNNNNNNNNNNNNNNNNNNNNNNNNNNNNNNNNNNNNNNNNNNNNNNNNNNNNNNNNNNNNNNNNNNNNNNNNNNNNNNNNNNNNNNNNNNNNNNNNNNNNNNNNNNNNNNNNNNNNNNNNNNNNNNNNNNNNNNNNNNNNNNNNNNNNNNNNNNNNNNNNNNNNNNNNNNNNNNNNNNNNNNNNNNNNNNNNNNNNNNNNNNNNNNNNNNNNNNNNNNNNNNNNNNNNNNNNNNNNNNNNNNNNNNNNNNNNNNNNNNNNNNNNNNNNNNNNNNNNNNNNNNNNNNNNNNNNNNNNNNNNNNNNNNNNNNNNNNNNNNNNNNNNNNNNNNNNNNNNNNNNNNNNNNNNNNNNNNNNNNNNNNNNNNNNNNNNNNNNNNNNNNNNNNNNNNNNNNNNNNNNNNNNNNNNNNNNNNNNNNNNNNNNNNNNNNNNNNNNNNNNNNNNNNNNNNNNNNNNNNNNNNNNNNNNNNNNNNNNNNNNNNNNNNNNNNNNNNNNNNNNNNNNNNNNNNNNNNNNNNNNNNNNNNNNNNNNNNNNNNNNNNNNNNNNNNNNNNNNNNUAAGUACUUAUUCAUUAAACAUCAAUGAGGCCUUAAGGUAACAAGAUUUAGCCCAUGCGAUCACACGGUUGGUACGGUCAACAAAGAUUAUGGUUUCUUUUCUAUAUCAACCUCUUCAUCGUAAGAAAUUAGAUCAGAAUUUUAACCUAAUUUGAAAGGCAAAUUAAAUUCUUUAAUGUCUAACAACGAGGAGAAUAGAGCUUUUAAUAUGAAUAUUGUGUUAGUUUAACAGGUUAAUCUUUAUUCAUUAAACAUCAAUGAGGCCUUAAGGUAACAAGAUUUAGCCCAUGCGAUCACACGGUUGGUACGGUCAACAAAGAUUAUGGUUUCUUUUCUAUAUCAACCUCUUCAUCGUAAGAAAUUAGAUCAGAAUUUUAACCUAAUUUGAAAGGCAAAUUAAAUUCUUUAAUGUCUAACAACGAGGAGAAUAGAGCUUUUAAUAUGAAUAUUGUGUUAGUUUAACAGGUUAAUCUAAAAGUUUUAUCUACGAUUGAAUACAAUCCAUAAAUUGUUUAAGUUAUAAAUAAAUAGAAUGAGUGAUGAGUAAGUAAAUAAUACUUGAAGAGCAUUGAAAUUGUAGUUAAAAAUGAGUUCCCUUUUGAUUUAGAUAAAAAGCAGAAUUUUAAUAGAUCUCGAUAAAAUUUGAUUUAAUGUAAAUUAAAAUUAGUUAUUGAUUUAAGUUGGGUUUUAAUUUAAUUUUUUAGAUAAAACCUAAAUUUGAUAAUUUAUAAAUGAUUUAUGAAUUUUGUCGGCUAUAAGCUGUUGAAUAAUGGUUACCUGAACUUUAUAAGUCCCUGUUUCAUUUUGAAAAGUUGAGUAAAUGUGUUUGAAAAGUUAAUAAAAAUUAUGAAUUACAUUAAAUGUGCUAUUGAAAUUAAAUUUUAAGUUCUAUUUUUAUCAAGUUUUUUAGCUAAAUCAAACAGGAACUUAGCCCCUAUUUGGUGUAGAUUAAAAUCAUAUUUUUAGUAAAUUUUGAUAGAAGUUGAUAAAAUCUAUGGUUAAAAAAUUAACUAAAAAAGAAUGAACGGAAUACAUGUCUUUUGCGUGAUUCUAAGAUUAUUCAGCAUCUGUUUGAUAGCCAUUAUAAAGAAAAAUAUGAGAAAAUUGGCGUUUUGCACAGUAUUUUUUGAAGAAUGCAUGAUUAAAAAGUAGAAAAAAAUUUAAAUUUAUGGAUAAAAUAUAUAAUUAUGUGAAAUGUGGUUAAAAAUUAAUACGAGAAAUAAAAAAUUUUAAAAUAGAGUCUCAAAUUUAGUCCCUGUUUGGCCUCCAAUUUCUGAAAAUGAAAAUAGGUGAAAUAGUAUUUUUUUUAAAAAUGAGUGGUUGAAAAAGAAAGAAAAAUUUUCGAUUUGCGUGUAAUAUUAUUUUAUGAAAUACUGUGUAGUUAAAAAUAUGAAAAAGAGAAAUGAAAUGAAAUGAAAUGUAAUGUAAUGAAAUUUAAUGAGGAACAAACAGGAUUUAAUCAUCCUCUUGGAGGAGGACUGCGUGUACUUCUAUUAAUUUUCGGAUCGGAAGAAUUGCAAGUACACAAAAAUCGAGAAGUGCAGGCUUGUUGGUUUUCAUGCCUGUGAUCACAAACAAGUGUAAUUCUGAUCAGAAACACGUGUAUCUGCAUGCAUUCAAAUGAGAACCUAAGAAUUUAAUCCUUGACAAAGCUCAUUUUUCUAUACACUCAUUGUUAAUAAAAUAUUUUAUAUAUAAAUUUAAAUUUUUAAAAUUUUUUUAAUAAUAUGUUCACCUUAAAAUUAUUUUUUAAAAUAUUAUUUUGACCAAAUAAUAGCCAUCAAUCGGGAGUUAAGUCAAGUUUGGUCUAUUUUUGAAAGUUUAUUUUGCUCAAGCUCAAUUUCAAUCACACAUUCCAUGUAAUCCACAAUUUUUAUCAGCUUUUCAAUCAUAAAUUUAAUUAAUUUUUAUUAAAAUUUAUUAAGAUCUAAUUUUAACUAAAUGAAACUGAGCUAAAUUAAUUCUUCCAAGCAUAUGUUUAUCCACAUACAAACGUGGUAUUUGUGUUUUUUACAUGUCAAUUUCUGAGCAUGCUUGCAGGUAAUAUUGCUGAUGGAAGCAAUAGGUAUCCCGCUACUGAUCAGUAAAAUUCAUUCAAGGUUUUAUCCAAAAUUUUAGUUAGUUCUUCAAAUGAUACUAUUUUGUUUCUCAAAAUGGUUACCAAAUCAUCUCUUCGUUCUCGUAGGAAUUUCAAUGAUCCAGGCAUUUUGAACAAGUCAUGUAAAGUUGAUGUGGCUUUUCCAUUUACUUAGACAACUAGAUCCUUCUAGCCAAUAUUGACGAUGAAACCUAUAUAGUCCAGAAUCUUGACAAUUUUAAGUAGAUAACGUUUUUAAUAAUAAGAGAAAUGCUAUAAACACAAUACUUUUGACAACUCUCUCACAUGUAUAAGUGGAGCUGCGAUUAAAACAAUCGUGAGGCCCAUGUUUUGUGAAAGGGCUGUCAUGCAAGGCUGUACACUUAGUGUUUCCCAUUUUAAUAAAAGGCAUUUCAGUCAUUUUGCAUGAUUAAUGACCAAAUUUAAUAAAAUAAUAGGCGGAAAAUAUAUUUCACUUUAUAAUAAAAAAUUUUUUUUUUUUUUUUUUUUUUUUUUUUUUUUUUUUUUUUUUUUUUUUUUUUUUUUUUUUUUUUUUUUUUUUUUUUUUUUUUUUUUUUUUUUUUUUUUUUUUUUUUUUAUGGUAAUGCUCUUAAUGGACUAUUAAUAAAUAGAAAGGAAUUAAACUCAAACCCAGUUCUUUUUCCAAUUAUUUUCAGUAGAGAGUUGAUGCUUAUCUCAAUUGAAAAUUCCACCGCUCGUAAAUUUCAUAACAAUAUUCCAUAAUACAAAUAUUUUUAAAGUAACUUAAAGAAAUUAUUUUAAUAUCUCUUUUUUGGGGUAUAAUUUAAAGAAACAAUUGGUUGCACGUUUUACUGAUUUACAGUAACGUUUUUUGCAAUGUAAAUAUUUUUAACUGCAUGAACUAGAAUCUUGUUAGAUAAUGUUCGUUAGUUUAAGGAAAUUAUCCGAAAGAGAUUUAUUUUUUUUAUUGCAAUGUGACGGGUGAAGAAUUUGUGGAAUAUCUAGUAUGUAAUAUCCGAUAGAGUUCCGCUUCAUAGAUUUUUUUUUUCUCUUCUUUUUUUUCUUUUUAACGUUUGAUUCAGAUUGUGAUCAUGGCUAUGUUCUAGAAAUAUUUGUGAUCAUCUCACAAUUCAAUCACCUGGAAAAUGCUUACAACAUAUAAACAAAAACUGUCAUGUGAAAGUGAAACAUACAAAAAUUUAAUGGAACAUGUGACUGCCUAUUACGGAAAACCUUAUCAGUUAAAGGUUCAAAAUUUCAUUAAAGAUGUCGGAUGCCAUUUACAGUAGCAUGAUACAUUGUUUCGGAAUUAUUUUCACCCUUUUAUAUGUUUACGAGGGUGUUAAUUUGUGUCGUAAAAAGAUUUUUGCGACAUACAUGUUGCAGGCCUUAAAAAUAAGAUAAAAAUGAGAUUUUUACGGUAUGUAUUUGUGCACGCUGUAAAAAAAGUUUCCAUUUCCUUUUUUUUUUCCCUUUUCCUUUUCUUCUGUGCAUGCCGUAAAAAGUGAAUUAAGAAGUAUAUACGGCGUGCGCAUUUACAAUAUGGCCUUAUAUAGUGUUCAAAUAUAAUUGUAAAUAUUAGGCAAUUUGUUGUCAGAAAACCUCUCGGACAAUGAUAUAACCUUAGUUUUAUUUAUUAUCAGUCGGCCUUGGCCAUAUGAUUGAAUUAUAUGUCGACACUAUCAUCGAGACAACACAACCCAAUUUUCUAUUGACCGUUAAAAGCAACCUAUUUUAAUAGUUUUGCUCGUGGUCCGUCCCAUUUACUUGGAGGGCUAUGAUAUUCAUUUGGAGCUCAUUAUCUUUGUGUUGAGCCUUGUUUGGACCACUAAGUUAACCUAACCUAACUUACCAUUUUUGACCACUCACUAAUCUAUAACUUACGGCUCCUUCCACGCCUCCAUAUGAAGGACUCUCCAUCUCUUUUUGUGAUCUUAAUUCUCGGUCUCUUUCUUUCAAAUAACCUGUGUGGUUUUCUCUUGGACUAUAUUGUUCUUUAUCUUGGCCGACUCUUUAUGAGUAUAAAUAGCAAACGUAGGUGGGAAGAAAGAAAGUGAAAAUUGAGUGUUGUCUCAAUUGUGGUUGUGCUAAUAUUUGGUAGAAACUGAGUUCGGUAUCACGUUGGUUAUUGCUGAAAUUUCACCUCACAGUAAAGAACUUUUUAUAACAUGCAAUUCACAUCGUAAAAAGCAAAUUCUGGAAAGCGUUGUAAUUAAAUAGACUGACUUGAACUUAGUUCCCCCCCCCCCCCCCCCCCCCCUUUUUUUGUUCCCCCCCCCCCCCCUCUUGAUUUUAAUAUUAUGUUGUACAAGAGAAGUUAGAUGGUCGAAGAAAGAUGACGUGUUCUCCUAUAAAUUUUGUGUUCACCACGUGGAAUUGCAUGCACCCUAAAAUCGAGAUGGAGUAGAAGGUUGGUUGGCUUCCAUGCAUGUAAUUAGAAAUACGUGUAUUUGCAAUUGCAUGCAGGCGCACACGAGUAAAUUAAUUCUUGCAUUCACAAACACGUGUAUCUGGGUAUUUUACAUGUCAAUUGCUGAGCAUGUUUGUUCUUACUGGAGUGGAGUAGGCGAGUAGCAGGUAAUAUUGCUGAUAGAAGAGGUGGGUGUACUGCCAUCGAUCGGUAAAAUUUGUACUUCACCAAUUUUAUAUUAGAGGAUGAAAUUUGUCCCAACAUAUUUUGUACAUGUUUGAUUUACCUUAAAAAAUAAUAAUAAUCAACAAUUAAUUUUAGUAAUACAUUUUAUGAAAUUUAAACCUUUUAUUAGUUUAUCAACCACACAUUUCGUCAUUUUUUUUUAUCAAAAUCUAUUGAAAAUAUACUCUUUAGCUAAACCAAGCUGGAGUUUCAUUUUUUGAACAAUAUUGUCCAUUUUUUCAAAAAUUUAUUAGUUCUUUCAAAGGUAUAUUUCAUCAUUUUUUAUCAGAAUCUAUUGAAAAUAUAAUUUUUAGCUAAACCAAAUAGGAAUUUCAUUUUUUGAACAAUAUUGUCCAUUUUUUCAAAAAUUUAUUUGUUAUUCCAAAGGUGCUUUUUUUUUUUUUUUAACAAAAUUGUUUAAAAAAAAAUAAAAAAAAUAUCUUCUUCGAUUUCAAGUAAUCUAGGCAAGUUGUGUAAAGUUUACCAAGAUUUUUUGUCUACUCAGACAAUCUAAUCUUUGUAUGAGAGGACAAGUUGAGGAUAAAAUUUAACAAAUAAUUUUUUUUACUCUUUAUUUAAUACGUUAAACUGUUAGACGAUAGGUUCUAUAAUUAUAAAAUGAGAAAUGAUUUCAAAAGCUAUCAAAAUUUUUAUAAUUCCAUUUGGGAAGUAAAUAAAAUUGAACAACAAUUGUUAAAGAAGAAUAAAUACAAGAAUUAAAUAUAUGAGAUUGAUGUAUUACUUAAUUCCUUCUGUUCAUAAGCUGGCACCUAAUUUACCUCCUAAACGUAACAAUAUAAAACACAAAUUAAAAAAUUUACGAUGCGGAAGUUCAUUGGAUGUUACAUACUAGAUUUUGCACAAAUUCUUGGACAUCAUGCUGCAGUGACAUAAUGGUUGAUACAAUGGGUGACAUAAUGUCAUGNCAUGUAAUUAGAAAUACGUGUAUUUGCAAUUGCAUGCAGGCGCACACGAGUAAAUUAAUUCUUGCAUUCACAAACACGUGUAUUUGGGUAUUUUACAUGUCAAUUGCUGAGCAUGUUUGUUCUUACUGGAGUGGAGUAGGCGAGUAGCAGGUAAUAUUGCUGAUAGAAGAGGUGGUGUACUGCCAUCGAUCAGUAAAAUUUGUAUUUCACCAAUUUUAUAUUAGAGAAUGAAAUUUGUCCCAACAUAUUUUGUACAUGUUUGAUUUACCUUAAAAAAUAAUAAUAAUCAACAAAUUUUAAUAAUACAUUUUAUGAAAUUUAAACCUUUUAUUAGUUUAUCAACCACACAUUUCACCAUUUUUUUUUAUUAUCAAAAUCUAUUGAAAAUAUACUUUUUAGCUAAACAAAGCUGGAGUUUCAUUUUUUGAACAAUAUUGUCCAUUUUUUCAAAAAUUUAUCAGUUCUUUCAAAGGUAUAUUUCAUCAUUUUUUAUCAGAAUCUAUUGAAAAUAUAAUUUUUAGCUAAACCAAACAGGAAUUUCAUUUUUUGAACAAUAUUGUCCAUUUUUUCAAAAAUUUAUUUGUUAUUCCAAAGGUGCUUUUUUUUUUUUUUAAUAAAAUUGUUUAAAAAAAAAUAAAAAAACAUCUUCUUCGAUUUCAAGUAAUCUAGGCAAGUUGUGUAAAGUUUACCAAGAUUUUUUGUCUACUCAGACAAUCUAAUCUUUGUAUGAGAGGACAAGUUGAGGAUAAAAUUUAACAAAUAAAUUUUUUUACUCUUUAUCUAAUACGUUAAACUGUUAGACGAUAGGUUCUAUAAUUAUAAAAUGAGAAAUGAUUUCAAAAGCUAUCAAAAUUUUAAAAUUCCAUUUGGGAAGUAAAUAAAAUUGAACAACAGUUGUUAAAGAAGAAUAAAUACAAGAAUUAAAUAUAUGAGAUUGAUGCAUUACUUAAUUCCUUCUGUUCAUAAGCUGGCACCUAAUUUACCUCCUAAACGUAACAAUAUAAAACACACAUUAAAAAAUUUACGAUGCGGAAGUUCAUUGGAUAUUACAUACUAGAUUUUGCACAAAUUCUUGGACAUCAUGCUGCAGUGACAUAAUGGUUGAUACAAUGGGUGACAUAAUGUCAUGCGGCGCUAUAAUAUUGGAUUAUUUAAAACACAUUCAGAUUUUUUUAUCAAAUCACAAAAUGCUACACACUCUUCCGUCAAACAAUCUGUUAGAAUUUUUCUAGUUACAUUUUCCUUAUUGUCUAUAAUGACUAUAAGCCAUCAAAUUGUGUAAGCAGUUCAAUUAUGUUGUUUUCAAUGAAAUAAAUAUAUAUUUAUUCUACGAUAUAAUUGUUAUUUGUGCCUUUUGCAUAUAGAACAACAAAUAAUUGUUAUUUUGCGUAUAUAAUGAAAUAUUUCACUAUUUGUAUUAGACUUAAAUUUAAAUAUCCUUAUAAAAAUCAACUUGAAUACAAUUAUAAAAUCACUUAAUUAUAAUCCUAAUUCUAUUAGGAUAAUAAAACUUGUGAAGUUUUAAUUAGGCCCAACAAUAUUAAUUUAUCGUAAUAUUAAUACAUUACUAAAAUUACUAAAUAAUCCUCCAUAAUAAUAACAAAAUUAAUAUAUAGUCGUCACACCAAAUAAAAUUUUCAUUUGGCAACUUUAUAAAUGAUUUGCAAAUAUGAAUAGUAAGAAGAAGAGUAGUGGAUUCUACGAAAUAUAUGAAUAAUAAUAAUUAGUAGCUAUGUAUAAGUAUGUGGUUAAAUUAAUGUUUUAUUUUGACUGAAUUUAUAAAUUGUAUUCAAAGGGAGGCAACAAAACAGUAUCAUCCUUAUUGUGUUUGUUGUGAUCAGAAGUAAUUUUCCCCGACCAAGGUAUAUAUACACAAGUUUACUUUCGUGAAAAAUAUGUUAAUGACAUAUUAUAUACUCUUAUCACUAGAGUUAGGUCUUGUUCUCAAGGGUUUAUAUUGGCAAUUGAUGUUGCCAAUGAAGCCUAGCGAUAAUCACUUGGAAAAUUCUACUUGUACAUAAUUAUUGUACAUAAUGGUGUCCAUAAUGUGAUGUGUCAAUCAUUCGAUUGUUGAUGCGCAAGUGUGAGAUUUGAAUUAAAUGUUGGAUCUAAUGCCACGUGUAAUUAUAGACACCAUUAUGUAAACAAUUAUGUACAUGUAGCACUUCUCUAAUCACUUUAUUGCAAAUGUAAUAGAACAAGGAUAAAACUACGUCGCCAGAAGAAUUUGACAGAAAGCUUGACAUAAUGUCAUGUGCCAGUAGAUGAUUGGAUAGAAAAUGUGAUUAUAUUUUAAAUUGACCAAUAAUAGAAUGUCACUUGAGAUUAUGUCAAACUUUAUAUCAACCUUGAUGUUCAUGUAGUAUGAUUGAAUAUAACAAUUAUUCAUUAAGUUUUCAACUUUUUCUCAAUAAAUGUCGGAUUUUACGAAGUUAGUGGUCUUCAGGUUCACGGACUCCCUCAGUAGCUGAGUACAUUGCGUUAAUCUCACAAUCCAACCACAUGGGCGGUGCUUACAACAUAUAACACAAGACUAUUAUGUGUAACAAAACAAAAUAUAAUGAAAACAUGGGAAAUUGUAUCAUAGGAUAUAUUUUUGUUUCAGAAAUAUUUUCACGCUUUUGAUGUAUGAAUUAUACACAUUUUGCUAAUCAUUUAACUUUACAGAAAUACAUAGUAAACAAUCAGAUGAUAUGCACAAUUUUUUCAAUGGCUUGCUGCCUUACUAAAAGUUUAACUUGUUAAUGGCUACAUGUAUUUUUUUAAUUUUUUUUUUUUAAUCUUCCAUUAACAAGCCACUUCAUGAACAUCAAACCAGAUAUAUUUUUCUGACCAAAAUUUAAUGUAAGGCUCCUGUAAGUAGAUGUAGUCUUAAGGAAAAUCGAGGGGAAAAAAUAACAAAAGGCAAAACUGACUCGUAUUUAAGUAGUGUUGAAUGUCUAAUCUAAAAAAUUUAAGCAAUUAAGAACACCCAUCAUUUAAUGAUACUUAUAUGUGCUAAUAUUUUACAAUCAGUGAUGCUAAAUAGUAUUAUUAGGACGAAUUGCAUGCACACUAUAAUCAAGAUGAAGUACCAGGCUUGCUUUCUUUCUUAUAAGGUUUUCGAGAUUUUCAAGAGUCGAGGGACCGAGGAAGUUAAUUAAUUUUUGCAUGCAUGUGAUCAGAAUUUCCCUAUAAAUGGGGGAACUGGUUCUUCAUGAAAAUUAACUAGCAAUGGCAUACCAAAACAACGUCCUAUCAUCGGCUAACCAAAACAGCUUCCUAUCAAUGGCUAACCAGAACAACCAGUUUCUGAUGAUUACUGGUGCCGAUUCUAAGUUAAAUGAUUACGUGAAUUUAGUGGAGGGGUGAAUUUCCUUUUAGUAAAACCAUAAAGGUUAAGUCGAAAAUCGAAUAAGCAUUGAUAGGUUAAAUACAACCAAUUCUACGAAAAAAUGAGAGUAUAUAAAGGUAAUUGAUGAUGACCAACAAUAUCCAGCUUAUAGGACCUAGUCAAAUAGGAGUUGUCAAGGAUAAACAUAAUGGAAGUCGAAAAACAAGCAAAGGAAAUACAUGGAUUUUUAGUCGUUCACCUUUAAAGUGAGAGCUAUAUCCACCUGCCUACCAUGAUAAGAUAUAAAAUAAUAAUAAUAAUAAUAAUAAUAAUAAUAAUAAUAAUAAUAACUAGGUUUUCUAACGCAUCUCACAUACUCAAAACAGGUCCCCCUGGAUUUUAUACUGUUGUACACUUGUACGCUGUUAUUAGACUCCACAAAGUCCAACCUGAUUAUGAUGGUUAGGUGCUGAAUCUUGGAAGACGAAUAGUACAAAUCUGAAAUAUAUUGAAUAUCAUGGAUAGAGAAAUUAUACAGCAAUCGCAGGGCCAGACUGUAUGGCUAACAAAUUUCCAACAUAUUGACUGCACAAGAAACUAACCCAAGUAAUGUUGGAUUUUAUGGCCCUAAUGAUAAUGUUCAUCUCUUAGGUCACCCAAGCUUCCUUGCUAUAUAAGGGAAUCAAAGGAGAUUUUUUUCCCUUUGUGAGAGAGAGAAGAGAGUCUGUGUGAUCUCUGUUGUAAAAUAAAUUUCAAUUUCAGUGAAAACUUGCAUCGGCAAGUGGACUGGGCUCUCACAUUGAGAAUGAACCAUCACAAAUAUGCGAGUUCACUUUGCAUUAUUAUGAUUUUCUUCUUGGUCUUAUUGAUCUUGGAGUUGGAAUUAAGAUUUAAUCCCUAACAAGUAGAUAUUUUAUUUCCAUUACAAUACAGUGAUUAACUGGCACUAAGUUGCCUGUUAUUAAUAUUACGGAACAAGAAAGUAGAUUAAAUUACCUGCAUCAAAAACAAGUCCCGGAUCUAGAGCUGCCCUAGGAUUGACAUGGCCACUCCCAUAAUCGAAAGGUGUUGCAGGUACCAGAGCCAGAGUAUCCGAUCCAGAAUACUGUUGAGCUUGAAGCGGUCUCUCUGCCCUGUCAAGGGUAGUUGAUGUAGUCAUCAAGGCAGAUUUGAUAGCCGCAGGACUCCAGUGAGGGUGCUUCUGCUUCACGAGAGCAGCUAUUCCAGCUAUAUGUGGCGCAGCCAUGCUAGUUCCAGAUAUCAAAGCAAAUCCUUCACCUGCUCCAAGCAAUGUGAUUCAGAUUCUUGCAUAGGACAAGAACAUUGUUCAAAAAAUUAGGGAUAGUUGCAGCAUUGGUCUCCAUCCUAUAGCACUCAUAGGAACUUGAUCCCUAAUCUUUAAUUCUUUAUAAUGAAGCUUUUGGAACUCGAAUCAAUUUAUUGCAUGUUUGUUCUUGUGGAUAGCGUACAUAUAUAUCUUAUGUUAAAAUGGUAAUAGUGUAAUUUCUGUUUAGAUGGGAUCACAGAAUUUAAGUUUUAUUCCUUUUCCUUCUCUCCUUUUCUAUUCUUUCUAUUUCCUCAUUUAUGUAUCUAUCAAUAAAAUUUAUUCAUUUUUACCCAUUUUGCCCUCACAUGCUUUGCACAAACCAUUUUGAUAGAAAUUGGCUGGAGACAGUCCACAAGGACUACAACUGCAACUAAAUUGAAACGUCGAACACCAAAAUAGUACGUUUUAAAGGUGGGGAUCAAGUUGCCACAAGCUCUAUAGGUUGAGGACUGACGCUGCGGCUUUACCCAAAAAAUAAGAGGAGUAAAUUGGUAUAAUGAGUAUUUUUACCAACGUAGUUUGCCUCAUCUGUCCCGUUUGGAGCCCAGGAAGCCCAAAUUAGAGAACCAGGAGCCAGAAUAUCUGGUUUGAGGAGAUCUGCAUCUCGAAAGCUGUAGUCUUUGAUAUUGGGUCCUCGAGCAGAGAACAAAGCUACUUGUGGAGCGGACUUGUGGAGUAUAGGCUUCAGACCGUCCCCGAUACUUCCCACUGCCUUGAAGCUCUUCACUCGCCCAGUCCAAUCUCUUGGUGUAGAUAUGUUAUAGUAGUCUAUAAGCUCCUACAAAUAUCAUUACCAAGCAAAAGAACAAGAAAAUUGAGACAAGACAAAAACCAGGAACAGAAACUAACUAUUACUUUCUUCCCAUAGUUUAGAAGUUACUAAUUCAGUUAUUAGAAAAACGUUGAAACUUAGUCAAAUAUGCUCUAUGUAACAAAGAGAAGCAUAAUAUUUACCAUGGACUUGCUAACAUCUGUGAUGAGGAUUCCAGGAAUACUAACAGGAACAGGAUCAAAUUUUGUUCCUGGAGAAGCAUUUUCCACUGCUAGAACGAAACCAAUUGCGCCAAGACUCUUAGCAGUUUGUGAGACUUUUUUUAUUGAAGCGGUACCAAUGACAAAAUUAAAGGAAUAUCCACAGAGAAGAAUGUUCCCCUCCACCAAGUUCUUGUUCAGAACUUCUGGCUUCUGGCAGUCAGAAGGACUAUACCUUGAAACUGAGGAAUCCAGCAGCACGUCAUUAGCAGCUACCAAGGUAAAUGUUCUAUUUGCAUCCGUGGCAGCUGCAGGAAGGUUGGAAGAAUAACUAACACAUGAGCUUAAGAAAAGCAGAGACUGUAUUAAGUGAAACUGAGUGAAUUCUACUAAACAAAUUGGCAGGAAAUCAGUACAGAGAGAAAUAAAAUCGAUAGAGAAAAUAAAUGAUUACACUAUCUGACUCCUAAUGAAAAUUGUGACAUAAUUAAUUCCAAACAUAAUUAGAAAAUCCCUGAUCGUGUAUGUUUGGUGCCCAUCUCGCAUUGAUAAUUAGCAACAUUUUCAGGUUACAAAUUCAUCUCCCAUGAAUAGAUAGAUAACUCUAACAAUCACAUGAAUAAAGAGGCAGGCUAAUGUGUAUUGGCGUAAGUUAAUGUGAAAUUUAUGCAUCAAAGAUUUUAAGAAACAUCUUACAUGAUUGCUUUAAGAAGAUAAAAGACCUAAAUGCUUGUUUGGGAGAAACUAUAAGUUGCUGAAAUCAUAAGAUGAUAGAAAUGAGUGGUGGAUGGGUGGGUAGUAGUUGUGGUCCUCUGAAAUGUGCGACUAAAUUACAAUUUGACUUUGAACUCAUUAUAAUUUAAAUCAAACGACGAGCGAAACAUUUCUAACAGCAAUACCAAUGUUUAUUUUCUAACAGGACAAUAUUAAAGAAAUCUGACAGAGCGAGCAGUGUCCAUAAGGCAGGUUUAAGAAUUUAGAAGCCUUGAGAUGAGCUGCAUAAAACUUACGUGACAGACCAAGUCCAGCCAAGAUUUUCCCAUUUCCCAAGGUCAGAUGGUUCUUGUAUCUUCUAUCAUCAACUGCAGCACCUACAGAUGCUAUCCAUGGACUAUAAGACAACAAGGUCUUGGGAAAAGGACCUCCAUUUCCGGCUGCCUGUGCAAUAAAAACUCCAGCUUUCACAGCUGAAAGAAGCGUAGCAUCAAAGGGGUUUAAAAACGUUGUCUUUGUCGUUGCUGGAGGACUGUUGGGCCCCACUGAGAGAUUCAGAAUGUCCACACCAUCAUGAACAGCCUGUCAAAAAUAACUACCAUGUUUCACAACAUUGAUACGCAAUACACACACACACACACACACAAAAUAAAUAUCCCUAAUAUGACGUGGAAAACAUUUAUGUACGUGUUUUCUCUUUCAUUAUAUAACUGACAUAAUAUGUUGCUAAUGCUGGACCCUGGGAAGCCUAAGCAUUCUGUAGUCUUAUCUCCUUGCUAUAUACAUGUAUUAUGUCGAUCUACUAUUCCUACAUAUCUAAAGGAAAUUUUAAAAGAGUUUUCUAAAACACAAACAGAUAAGUGUGAGAUCACCAUCGUAAUCUUCCUCUUCAUAAUGAAACCUUAUAUGCUGUAGCAACAAGUAAACACAACUCUCAUGUUGAGGGUAAAACAUUAUAAAUCUGUGUUUGCUUGUGUGUUUCAAAUUUGUUUAACUGAUUAUUGCUCUUGUAAUUGGGAUUCAGAACCUCAUUUAAUUAAGAAUGUUAUACAUAGUUGUUAUCUGUAUGCCACUUCAACUAUAAGUUCAUUUUCAAUUUAUUACUAUUCUAUGACUAGGUAAAGCUUUCAGUUUUAGAUUAAAGAGUCCAUGACAUUUUUGGCUUCUAACAUGAUCCUGCCACAGUAAUAUAGGUCAGACUGUAUAGUCGGUUCUGUUAGGAUUGUUGCAAUGUCAAGGAUAAUUUUCUACUCAGCAUCUUAGUGCUGUAAAUAUUAUUGUCCCAAGUUCUUUGCACAAUUCUGAAACUAUAGCAAAAAAGAGAGUAGUUAUGGUGCAUAGACAUAAUGAUGUUGUUGAAAUAUGUUAUAUUUACCACACAAAAUCAGGAUAUGGAGGUGUCAAAUUGGUUGGAACUGCUGGAGAUUUGUCUGGAAUAACAAAAAUAAAUAAAUCUGCUCUAUAUCUGAAUUUUUAUGGCAUAUUUUUAGAGAUUUUUUGUAGAAGUUGUUACCAUUUCCUGUAAAAAUACUUUCAGAAGUUAAUAAAUGAAUUAUCAGUUUCCCAGCCUACUUGUUUUUAUUCAUUUUCUGCCAAUUAAUCAACAAAUUGGUAUCAGAGCAUAACUUCUUAGGGGACCUGUGAGGAGUGAAUCAGAUAUGGUUGGAAACAAUUACAUGGCAAAACCUCCAAUUUUCACAGGAGAAAUCUAUUACAUUUGGGCUGUUAAAAUGGAGGCAUUUUUGCGAGCAAAUAAUCUUUGGGAUUUGGUGGAGACAGAAGAACUACAAGCACCUGAGGAUCCAAUUGUUGCACAAAUUAGAAACCAAAGAGAUGAGAGAACCAGGAGGUAUAAAGCCAAGACAUGCAGAGUCAUAUUCAAUUUUUACAAAGAUUACUGCCUGUGAAAUUGCCAAACAGGCAUGGGAUCUUUUAAAGAAGAAUAUUAAGGAAACACUAGAACAAAGAAAAUGCAAAUCCUAAAUCUAAGAAGGAAGUUCACGAUUCAGAAAAUGAAAGAAACAGAAGGGAUAAAGGACUAUACUAACAGAUUGAUAGUUGUAGUCAAUGAAAUCAGGUUGUUAGGGGAAGAGCCUCUUGAUAGAAGGGUUGUGUAAAAAUUCUUGGUAACUAUUCCUAAAUGUUUUGAGGCCAAGAUUUCAUCACUUGAAGAGUUUAGGGAUCGGUAAACAACCGCCUUAGGAGAACUGAUUAAUGCGAUGCAAGCUCAAGAGCAAAGAAGAGCUUACAGGCAAGAGAAGAUAGUGGAAGGAGCUUUUAAGGUGAAAGAGACCGAUCAAAAACAAGAAAAAAUAAGGGUAAAAGGCAAUGGAAUAGAAAUCAGAAAAGAGAAGGUGAAAACAACAACGAAGGUAACAGAGGUAGAUAUCCACCAUGUCCACACUGCAAAAAAACUUCACAUCAAUAAAAAUAUUGCUGAUUUAGAGCAGACAUCCUGUGCAGAUCAUGCAAGAAGAUGGGGCAAAUGGAAAAAGUCUGUAAAAAUAAGCAAAUUGAGGGACAACCAGCUCAAGCACAAAUGAUGCAUCAACAACAGGAGGAGCAGCUAUUUGUGGCUACCUACUUUACAAGCCGCAGUACCAGUGAUGCUUGGCUUAUUGAUAGUGGAUGCACCAACCACAGGACAAAUGAUGCAUCCUUCUUUCAAGAAUUGCACAAAUCAUCAGAAGAAUCAAAGGUCAACAUAGACAAUGGCCAGUUGAUUGAGGUAAAAGGAAAGGGAACGGUUGCUAUAACAGGUUCUACAGAUUACUGAUGUACGUUUUGUACCAGAAAUAGAUCAAAACCUGCUUAGUGUUGGGCAGCUGCAUGAAAAGGGCAAUUCAGUAUUUUUCAAAGAUAAAACUUGUGAAAUUACUAACUCCAGUGGUGCGGUUAUUAUCUCUAUUGGUAUGAAAAACAAGUGUUUCAACCCGGAUCCGGUGCAUAUUUUUGAUCACAAGCUGAUGUAUGGCACAGAAGAAUGGGACAUUUUCUUAAUUCUGCAUUGGAGUUCAUGCAAAAAGAAAAAGUGGUGAAAGAAAUGACAUUUACUGAAGAACAAGCCAAGCUUGUGAAGCAUGCCAGCUGGGAAAACAAGCCAGACAGCAAUUCCCAGUUAACAAAGUCUGGAGAGCAACAGAGAGACUACAACUUAUCCACGCUGAUCUAUGUGGACCAAUGAGGACAGAGUCACUUAAUGGAAAUAGGUAUUUCAUCUUGUUUAUUGAUGACUUUUCAGCAGGAUGUGUUGGAUGUAUUUCAUGAAGCAGAAAUCAGAAGUUGCGGCAAUCUUUUGGAAAUUCAAAGUUUGGAUCGAGAAUCAAAGUAGCUGCAAAAUCAAGGUAAUAAGGUCUGACAAUGGGAAUGAGCACAUAGCUUAGAUUUUUGCAACUUUUGUGAGGAUGUAAGGAUUGGGCAUCAAUUUACAGCUAAAUACACUCCUCAGCAGAAUGGUGCAAGUGAAAGGAAAAACAAAACUAUAAUGGAGAUGAGUAGAUGUUUGUUAUUUGAGAAACAUUGGCAGACGCAGUUAAAACUGCUGUAUUUUUGUUGAACGGGCUUGCAACAAGAGCCCUGAAGGGAAAAACUCCUUUUGAAGCAUGAUAUGACAUUAAAUGUUAUGUGUCAAAUUUAAAAUUUUUUGGCUAUUUAUGCUUCACUCACAUUCCAAAUGCAAAAAAGGAAAAGUUGGAUGAAAAGGUAGAAUAUGUAGUUUUUAUGGGAUACAGCACAACCACUAAAGGAUAUAGAAUCUUACAACCAGCGACUGGAAAAUUCAUUAUUAGCAAAGAUGUGACAUUUGAUGAAGAUGCAGAAUUAAAUUGGGAACAAGCAGAACCAAUGAGAUGGACAAUAGAAAGAAAGGAAGCACUCGAACUUGAUGAAGACAACUAUGAUGAGCUACCAGUGACAGGGACAAGGUCUAUCACUGAAAUUUACCAGAAAUGUAAUGUAGCAGUUUUGGAACCUACCGGAUAUGAAGAAGCAGCAAAUGAUCCCAAAUGGGUCAUUGCAAUGCAGGAGGAGAUGAAGAUGAUUCAUAAGAAUUAGACCUAGGAGCUUGUAGACAGGCCUUCACAAAAAAAAAACAAUAGGAGUCAAAUAGAUUUAUAGGACAAAAUUUAAUGCAGAUGGAACUGUGAAUAAGCAAAAAGCUAGACUAGUGGUGAAGGGCUAUGCACAGCAGUUUGGAGUGGAUUUUUCAGAAACCCUUGCACCAGUGGUAAGGUUGGAUACAAUAAGGCUACUUCUUGCAAUUGCAGCACGACAACAAUGGAAAAUUUAUCAUCUGGAUGUCAAAUUUGCAUUCCUAAAUUGUUACUUGCAAGAAGAAAUUUUUGUUGGACAACCUGAGGGAUUUGUAGAUGAUUCUAAUGAGCAUUGAUUUUAAUAGAAGUCUAAAUGAGAAUACUUUUAAAGCAGAAAAACAUGAAAUAAUUAUUAUCUCGCUAUAUGUGGAUGAUUUGCUAGUGACAGGAAACAGUGCAGAGAUUGUCAAGUUGUUUAAGGAGCAAAUAAUGGCUACAUUUGAGAUGACAGACCUUGGUGAGAUGGCCUUUUUUUCUUGGAAUGGAAAUCCAACAAAUAAAAAUUGAGAUUUUCAUUAGUCAGGAAAAGUAUGCUAAGUAAGUGUAAAGAAAAUUCAAAAUGGAGGAAUGCAAACCCAUAGAUACUCCACUAGCUCAAAAUGAGAAGCUCUGUCCAGAAGGAGCUGAAGUAGUUGACAAAGGCUUCUAUCAAAGAUUGAUUGGUUGUGAUGUAUUUGGCAGCAUCAAGGCCAAAUAUAAUGCACUCUGUCAUCUUACUUUCAAGUUUUAUGCAUUGUGCUAAGCAAGUACACCUUAAAGCUACAAAAAGAAUAUUGAGAUACAUAAAAGGGACAUGGACUUGGGAGUUAAAUUUAAAAAGAAAAAUGAGUCAAUUUUGUAUGGAUAUGCAGAUAGUGACUGGGCUGGAGCUAGUGAAGACAUGGAGAGCUCCUUAUCUAUUUAGCCUUGGUUCAGGGUGUUUCUGUUGGAGUUCAUGGAAGCAGGAGGUUGUUGCUCAGUCAAAUGCAGAAGCUGAGAACGUGACAGCAGCUGCUGCGGUUAAUCAAGCUUUAUGGUUGAGAAAGAUCUUGACAGAUCUAAUGUUGACACAAGAAGAAGCAACUGAAGUAUUUGUCUAUAAUCAGGUUGCAAAAGCGAUUUCAAACAACUCAGUGUCCCAUGGAAGAACCAAGCACUUCAAGGUGAAGUACUACCUUAUCAGGGAGGUGCAAAAGAAUGGUGAAGUGAAGCUGGUGUAUUGCAACACAAGUAUUCAACUUGCAGACAUUCUAACAAAGAGUUUGUCCAAAGCACGGUUUGAAUUUUUAAAGAUUUUCUGUUGCAGUUAGUUACCAUUUCCUGUAUAAAUACUUUCAUAAGUUAAUAAAUGAAUUAUCAGGCCUACUUCUUUUUUUUAUUCAUUUUCUGUCAAAUUAAUCAACAGAUGUGCAUCUUUCAGUCUGAUACAGCCAUUUUCAAUAGUAUAAAAUGCCUGAAACCAAUCAUAACGUGUUAUCAACUCUCUCAGGUUUCCAAAUAAACAUUGAAAACAACAAAUUUGCGAGCAAACUGAAAUUUCUGCACAUUUUUCAUAAAUUUUUACCAUGAUCGCUUCAAAUAAUUUCAUUUGUUUUUUUAUCAAAAGUAUAAGGAGAAACUUUUCAUAGUCCAAUCUGUAAGCAAUUUUAGAUAUUGAAAAGCACAAUUUUUCCUAAACAUGGCAGAUCCUAAAAUACUUUCUUUCUUCCUUUCUUUGUGCUCUCUCUCGCAUAUCAUUACAUCUCUCCCACAUCACAAUGUAGCAUAUCUCAUAAAUCUAUUUCAUGCAAAUGUGAAUAAAGAUUUUGCUAAAGAUUCUUCAGAUUCAUGCCAAUCCAUUAUUUUGUGUGAUCCAGGUUUCAUUACCUGGUGAUCCUCAACCGGCCUUAUCAAGACUUGACAUGUGAAGGUUCAAAAGGGUCUUCAAAGACAAAAGCAACAACACACAAGACAACCUCCCACUCCACUCCACCCCACCCGGGAAAAGGUAAAGGUAAAGAUAAAGAAAAGAAAUGAGCAACGGAGGGAAAAGAUUUCAGUGCAAAAAGAAAGUAUUCAAGUAGAACAGAAAAAUAAUUCAUGCAAGCUGCUUGUUAGUCAGAAACCAUAUGCAAUCCAGUAGAAAAACAGAGAGGACGGUCUCUGAUGCUCGGACUCUUCGAAAUGAUUGAAGUACCGUGUCGGACACAACACGACAUGAGUAUGGGUAUAGGAUAUGUGUCGGAUCCUCGAAAUUUCAACUGGACAAUUCCUCUUUUUUUUGCUUCUUCUUUCUUUUUCUUUCUUCUUUUUUCUUUUCCUUUUCUUUCCGUUUCUACUGUCUAUAAACCUAGUGCCACCUCCAAAAGGAUGGAGAAAGGUGAUGGCUCUAGAUUUUUCCUUCUUCUUCUUUUCUUUUUUCUUUCCCUUUUCUUUUCUUCUUUUUUUCCUUCUUUCCCUCUUUGUAUCGAUGGUUUAAGGUUUUGUUUGUAUAAAAUGAAAACGAGUUCCAUAUAAUACUACUUAGUGCUCCACUAAAUCCAAAUUGCAAUCAAAUCUCUCAUUUUAUAUUUUAUAUAAUAUUUAGUAAUUAACUUCUCAUAAUUGAAAACGAAACCCCAAAAUCCUACUGUCUUAACCUCUUAUUCAAUACUAUUUCCUUCUCUGUGAACAAUUGAUUUUGGUUCUUUUUCUAUCAAAGAAUCCUACGGAUAGUUGAUUCCUGCGUGAUAUACUUUGGAUCAAAAACUUCUCUUUAAAAAUAACAGCUUGAGUUAGUAAAAAAUUGAAGUUUGAAAGACGCACCUAAGUACCCGUGUCCAAAAUUUAGACUAUUUGUAGACAUGUCCCCGUAUCCUACAUUUUAGAAAAUAAAAGAUCUGACACUUAGAUAUGUACCCGUACCCGAUACCCAUACCCAUACCCAUACCCAAGCAUCAUAGAGGACGGUAAAAUUUUCAUAUCCUCCAAUAUUUACAUGUCAACAUUUUCACAUAUCUAAAAUACCUGAUCAAUGGCGGCAACUACAUCUGCAACAAAACCACCAAAUAAUCUGUAGAGUGACUUGUAGACAGCAAUCCUGCACAAACAUGAACAUUUUAACUGAUGGAAGAAUAUCCGUCAUUGAGAAAACAGGAUGUAACAUAUUUGCAUCACAACUUUGUGGGUGCAGUAAAAAACUUGCCUAGCACGAGGUGCCAUCCCACUUGCUCUUCCGAAUUCAAAUCCAUGCAUUCUCACUGGAAUUCCAUUAUUUCCAGCUGCAAUAGCUGCUGUGUGGCUGGUAAAAAUAUUGUUGAGAUAAGUUCCAGGUAAUCACAACAAUUACAUUAAGCAACCUAUAGCAAAAAUAAGAUUGAAUUGAAACAGAAACUACAAGAUUACUAAAAGUUUAACUUUGUAAAGGCUUCAUUUUUUUUUUUUUUUUUUUUAAUCUUCCUUUAACAAGCCACUUCAUGAACAUCAAACCAGAUAUAUUUUUCUGACCAAAAUUUAAUGUAAGGCUCCUGUAAGUAGAUGUAGUCUUAAGGAAAAUCGAGGGGAAAAAAUAACAAAAGGCAAAACUGACUCGUAUUUAAGUAGUGUUGAAUGUCUAAUCUAAAAAAUUUAAGCAAUUAAGAACACCCAUCAUUUAAUGAUACUUAUAUGUGCUAAUAUUUUACAAUCAGUGAUGCUAAAUAGUAUUAUUAGGACGAAUUGCAUGCACACUAUAAUCAAGAUGAAGUACCAGGCUUGCUUUCUUUCUUAUAAGGUUUUCGAGAUUUUCAAGAGUCGAGGGACCGAGGAAGUUAAUUAAUUUUUGCAUGCAUGUGAUCAGAAUUUCCCUAUAAAUGGGGGAACUGGUUCUUCAUGAAAAUUAACUAGCAAUGGCAUACCAAAACAACGUCCUAUCAUCGGCUAACCAAAACAGCUUCCUAUCAAUGGCUAACCAGAACAACCAGUUUCUGAUGAUUACUGGUGCCGAUUCUAAGUUAAAUGAUUACGUGAAUACUCCAACCUGUCCCGAUGUCAAGCGCGCCGAUUUUCCCGAAGAUUUCGUAUUUGGGGCUGCGACAUCUGCUUAUCAGGUGUAUCUCAUACUAUUUGCCUGCAGAGAUUCGCUACAACGAGAGAAAGGCCUUACAUUCUCAUAAUUUUUAUUAUUGUCCGUAUAUGUAUUUUUGCAGGUUGAAGGUGCUUGGAAUGUGGAUGGUAAAGGCUUCAGUAAUUGGGAUGAUUUCGCACUGAGAUUUCCUGGUCUCUUCUCUCUCUUUGAUCUUCUUGAUUCCUGUGUGUGUCUUUAUAUUAUACACACAUAAAAAUAUGUUUAUCAACACACAAACAAACAUAGUUGUGUUUUACAUGUCAAUUGCUGAGCAUGUUUACUGGAUUUGCAGAGAAAAUUGAAGAUGGGAGCAAUGGGUGUAUUGCUAUUGAUCAGUAUAAUUUGUUCAAGGUAUACUUCACAAAUUUUAUUAGAAUGAGAGAAAAGUGUCCAGCUUAACUCAUUUUCUGAGUAGCAUUGUCCAUUUUUCCAAAAUUUUUGUUAGUUCUUCCAAAGAUACAAUUUUCUUUUACAAAAUUGUCACCGAAGCAUCUUUUGUUUUUUCAAAGAAUUUCAAAUAAUCUGGACAUUCUCGACAAAUUAUUUGAAUUUGACGAGAUUUUUAUUUAGACAUCCAAAUCAUUCUCACCUAUGUAGACAAUAAUUUUUAUAUGGAUUUUUUUAUACAAGUGGUUCCAUGUGGGACCCACUUGUAAAAAAAUUGCUCAAAACUCCACCCACUCUCCCAUGUUGUGAGUGCUCGGUAGGGGUUCACACACUGAACCCCAAUCUUGUACCUCAAGCAUGGUCCUUUUUAUAUUGUCAAGAAUCUGGUAUACUUAAAGUAGAGGUCAUUUUAAUAAAAGGAUACUAAAAUUCUUUUGCAUAAUUGAAUAAUCAUACAUUACAGAAUGAUAGGCUGGAAACAUAUUUCACUUUAUCAUAAAAAAGUAGACUCAUAUGAAAAUUUUCUCAUUUUAUAUUAGUAAUGCAUUUUUUUUUAAUGGUACUGAAGUUAAUGACCUAGUAAUAAAAGAUAAUGAAAUUCAAACCUAAUUCUUUUUUCCAUUUAUUUUCAUAGAUUAUUGAUACUUCAAUCAAAAUUCCUCAUCUUGUAAAUUCAAUAACAAUGUUCCACAAUACAAUGUAUUUUUAAAUUAAUUUAAAUAAAUCUUUCUUUUCUUUUUGUUUAACUUAAUGAAAUAAUUGGCUUCAUGUUGUACUGAUUUUUAAUAACAUUGCAGGAGGAUGUAUCUUUGAUGAAGAAAAUAGGUUUGCAAUCUUACAGAUUUUCAGUCGCAUGGACUAGAAUCUUACCAGGUACCAACGUCAUUUCGAUAAAGUUAAUAGAAAAAUGAACUAUGAUUGUUGUUGUUGUAGCGUAGAAUUUGUUCAGCAUCUAGUAUGUAUUAUCCAAUGAAGUUCGUGAAUACAAUUUUUAUGGAAUACAAGAAUUCAUUAGUAUAAUAUAUAUAUAUAUAUAUAUAUAUAUAUAUAUAUAUAUAUAUAUAUAUAUAUAGUUCCACUGGGAUAUUCCUCAAUGUUUGGAACUAGAGUAUCAAGGCUUCUUAGACCGUCGAAUUUUGUAAGAAACUUAAUCCUAUUACUUUUAACGAAAUAAAUAAAUGAUAUAACUGUUAUUUGUGCGUUUCUGGAUGCAGGGAAGAUUUUUGUGAUUUCGCUGAGGUUUGCUUCUGGGAGUUCGGUGAUCGAGUGAAAAAUUGGAUUACACUGAAUGAGCCAUGGUCGUUUACUGUUAUGGGAUAUGUAUAUGGCACUUAUCCUCCUAGCAAGGGUGCAACAGCAAAACAGUCUCCGACAGCCAUAGCGCUGUUAAGUAAUUCAAUUCAUAGGUCUAAAUCUGGGCCUCGAUAUCAUACCUUUGGCGGAAAUCCAGCGAUAGAACCAUAUAUUGUGGCACAUCAUUUGAUACUUGCUCAUGCACAUGCUGUCGAUAUAUACAGAGAAAAAUAUCAGGUGAUUAAUUUCAAUGUUAUAUAUUGCGUCUCUAUAUAGUUUAUUUAAACAGAUUAUUUGUACAUACAGGCAGUCCAAGGAGGUCAGAUAGGGAUGACAAAUGUUGCAUGUUGGUAUGAGCCUUUUAGUGAAACUCAAGCCGAUAAAGACGCUGGUUCAAGAGCGAUCGAUUUUCAAAUAGGAUGGUAAGUCAGCUUAUAUUGUGGUUGGAACAUAUUUUUAGCUAUAACUACACUCGACACUUGGCCGCCCCCUAUUCGAGGGGCGGCUGGCUCGAGUGUGUAAAAAAUUGUCUAAAUGAUUGUGUACAAAUAGUUUUAUCCUAUAAGUAAAUAAAGGUGAAAUCUCAGCCAGAAUGCACUGCACUAGUUUACUUAAUAUUUGUUCGACAAUUACAAAUUUUUACAAUUGCUCAUUCAAAUCUUAAACCAACCCAUUUAACUACAUAUACUGUAUAAGGAUGACAGUCUCUCUCUUCUGAGUUCUUUUUCCUACAUUUAACUGUUCAAUCAUAUUUUGACCACCCUAGUGUAUACAUAUUUUACAAACCAUCUUCGUGAAGUAGAUUAAUAUCGUAGGAUUAAUUCAAGGCAAAUUAUCUCAUAUUUCUUUUUUUAGGUUUGUAGCACCAAUAGUAAUUGGAGACUAUCCAGAAAGUAUGAAAGAAAGAGUAGGAACACGUCUUCCCAUAUUUACAUCACAAGAGGAGAAGUUAGUGAAAGGAUCCUACGACUUUUUAGGGGUAAACUACUACACAUCUUAUUAUGCUGUCAAUCAUCCUCUACCGCCUGAUGAACCACCAAAUUUCAUAACAGAUAGACGGGUAAACGAUCUAAGUAAGUACUGUUUCCAGCCCUUUAUGUAAACUUCAUCAUUAAACUGGACUUGAUUACGUGUACUAGCUCUCACUCUCUUCCCACUCUUUUGUAGAAGAACGUAAUGGGAUGCCGAUUGGUCCACCAACGGUAAAUCUUUUUGCUUUGCCAUUUUCUAUCGAAAAUAGAUUGGAUUAUCCCAACAGUUUAUGCAAUAACAUUUUCAUAAUAGCCUGGAACAACUUCAACUAUUUAUUUAAUGCAUUAUUUUAUUCUAAUAGGCACAGUAAAUUAAAUUACUUAAACUGAUUUUAUUGAUGUUUAUAUAUGAAACAACGUCAAAUGCAAUUACAAACUUCUUCUCUUGUGUCAGCCUGGUUCGAAUUGGUUGUACAUUGUUCCAUGGGGAAUUUACAAGCUCAUGAAUCAUUUGAAGGAGACAUAUGGCGAUAAUGAAAUUUACAUUACCGAGAAUGGUAAAUAGUCCUGUUAUUAUUAGCUUAUAUAUUUGUAUAGCUAAAAGUAUUGUGGUGUUAACGAACAUUUAUAUGUUAUUCAUUAAUUUCCUGUGAUUUAUUGACAAUAGUAUCCCCUCAUGAUUUGUGUAGGGGUAAGUGAACCAAACGACAAGGGUCAAAAUAUUAAAAAAGCUCUCUCGGAUGAAAGAAGGAUUAAGUAUCACAAUGACCAUCUUUUCUAUCUUAAAAAAGCAAUCGAGUAAGUUGUCAUAAAUUUUCAAUGCAUAUGCUAUAGUAUUUCAACUCAAAACAAACUGUAAUAAUUUUUCCUUUUCCUUUUCCUUUCAGUAAUGGUGUACGGGUGAAGGGUUACUAUAUAUGGUCAUUGUUUGACAAUUAUGAAUGGGCUGAGGGAUACUCUUCUAGAUUUGGCAUCUUUUUUGUAGACUUCGAGAAUGGUCGUUUCACAAGAUUCCCAAAAAACUCAGCUAUAUGGUGGAUGAAUUUCCUUGGCCAAAAGUUUAAAAUUCCGUCAAAGAAAAAAGCUAGACCAACUGAUGAAGAUGGAGAAGGCUCUGUGAAAAGGCUAAGAGCAGCUAACUAAGUCCCUUUCUUCUGAAAUGUGAUGUCAAAUAAUGUAUGGAUGUGCAAGUUGUUAUUUUCCCUUUCAUCUGAAAUGUGAUGUCGAAUAAUGUAUAUAUGUGCAUGUUGUUCUUCUCGUUUCCUUUCUCAUAGGUCAAUGAGAAAGACAUGUUUCAACUCGUCGUGUUCAGAUAAAUGGAGGCCGGCUCGCUGAGUCUCCAUGUUCUCUUUAAUUAGUGUGCUCUUUCGCUUAUCUUUGGUUAUUAUGCUCUUGUUCUUAAUAAGAAAACCUAGCUUGCUAAAGGAUUUUAUAGGCUUGAGAAAAUUGAGUUUUUAUUUAAAAUGCGGUCUCUACAAUUUAUUUACGGUGUAUCAAAAUUGCAAGUUCAGGAGGGUUGUUGAAAUUCUAAUACGGAACAAAGAAAAUUAAAUAUUUAGACCUUAAGAAAAAAACUUUCAAUUUUUGUAGGUAUUUGAGUCGAUUUAUCCCACCUAAUACGUGAAAUAUAGUUUCCAACCAAGUUAUAUCCUACAAAAAAAUGAAAAAUGAUCAAUCAGACAUCCAUGCAUCAAUCAGACAUUCAUGCUGGCUUUGUCUAUCACAAUAGGCAUUUCAUAUAUUCGUUUAGAGUAGUCACCCUCUUAAGAAGUACCUUGUCUAAAAGUGUUCGAUCAAAUAUUCUUCAAAAAAACAUUUCUCAUAUUUUUUCUCAAAGGAAGAUCGGUUGCUGAGUGCGCUUCGGAUCACAAGAUAGCAAUAGGAUGGACUAUCUCGGAUAUAAAACGUAUCAGCCAUGCUCUUUGCAUGUAGAGGAUACUGAUAGAAGAGGAUUACAAAGUUUCAGUAGAGCAUCAAUGCAAUGCAGAGUAAAUUCGACUAUGCAGGAUGUGGUACGAAGAAAGCUAUUAAAGCUUUUAGAUGUGGGGAUCAUUUACCCCAUAUCAAACAGCCAUUGAAUCAAUCCAGUACAGCUCAUGCCAAAAAAAGGGGGAAUCAUAGUGGUUCCAAAUGAAAAUAACGAGAUUAUUCCUACACGCACAGUAACGGGUUGAAGUGUUUGCAUUAUCGCAAACUCAACAAUGCCAUGAGAAAUGAUCACAUUUCAUUGUUGGAUGGGUUUACUACUACUUUGUAGAUGGUUAUUAAGGGUGCAACUAGAUUUCUACAGCGUCACACGAUUAAGAGAAUACUACCUUCACAUGCCCUUAUAGCACUUUUAUUUAUAGGAGAAUGCCCUUCGGUCAAUGCAAUACUCUAGCUACUUUUCAGUGUUGUAUAAUCACUAUUUUCUCGAACAUGGUGGGAAUAUCAUUAAAGUGUUUAUGAAUGAUUUCUCAGUCAUUCAAGGAUUGUCUUGAACAUCUGGGGAAAGUGUUGCAGGAAUGUGAGGGCACCAACUUGGUAUUAAAUUGGGAAAAUGUCAUUUCAUGAUUUAAGAAGGGAUCAUGUUGGGGCAUUUGAUAUCAGCAAAGGGUAUUGAAGUAAAUACAGUUAAAAUAUAGGUCAUUGAGAAAAUACUAUUGUCAAUAACAUUACAGGGAAUCAAAAGCUUCUUAGAUCGCUCUCGAUUCUACCACUGCUUCAUCAAGGACUUCUCCAACAUCUCGAAGUCAUUAUGCAAUUUAUUGGAAAAAGGGGCUCGAUUUGACCUUUUAAAUGAUGUUUGACUACUUACAACAUUCUAAAGGAGAAGUUGGUUUAUGCUCUAGUUUUGACUUCUUUAUAUUGGGAUUAUUCGUUUGAGUUUAUGUAUGAUGCCAGUGAUCAUGCAGUGGGGAUAACGUUAAGUCAAUGCAAGGAAAAGAUUUCAUAUGUCAUUCACUACGCCAGUAAGACUUUGGAUAAGGCUCAGCUGAAUUAUGCCAACACGUAGAAGAAGCUUUUGGCGGUGGUGUUCGUCUUUGACAAAUUCAAAUUAUAUUUGAUUGGAUCAAAAGUGAUUGUCUACACGGAUCAUUCAGGCUUGAAGUAUCUAAUGAGCAAUAAGGAUACAAAUCCGAGAUUUAUUCAAUGGGUAAUCCUAUUGCAAGAGUUUGAUUUGGAGAUCAAAAAUAAAAAUGGGAGCGAGAUUGUUGUUAUGGAUAGCCUAUCUCGCCUUAAAUCACUUAAGUUGUGCCUUCUAGAGGAGACCAAUGAAGUUUUCCCGGAUGAGAUGCUCUUUUAGAUCAUCACUACGCCAUGGUAUAGAUUACGUGAAUCAUUUGGUCAUCCCACCAGAAUGCUCAAUUCAUGAGAAGAAAUAUUCUUCAGUGACUUGAAACACUACUUUUGAGAUAAUCCAUUUCUUUAUAGAAUGGGUCUAGCUCAGAUUAUACAAUGUUGUGUACUAAAAGUAGAGCAGCCUUAGAUGUUGGAAUUAUGCCACUCUGCACCAUAUGGAGGUCACUUUGUAGCAAUAGAGGUAGCAAAGGUACUGCAAUCAUGUUUUUAUUGGCUUAAUUGUUCAAGGAUGCACAUUAUAUGGUGAAAAUCGUAAUAAGUGCCAAAGGACCGAAAACAUCUCAAGAAAGAACGAGAUGCCCUUAAAUAGAAUUUUAGAGGUUGAGAUAUUCAAUGUUUGGGGCUUUGAUUUCAUAGGACCAUUCCCUUCAUCCUACGGUCAAAAACACAUAUCGGUGGCAAUGGAUUACGUAUCUAAGCAGGUUAAGACUAUAGCUUUGGCAACUAACGACUCAAUUCCUAAUAACAUUUUCAUGAGAGCCCCCCAGGGCGAUUAUUACUAAUGGUGGAAAGCAUUUUUUUCAACCACUUAUUCGUUUCGUUUUCGGCUAACUAUAGACUGAAAUAUCGUGUCUCAACUCCGUAUCAUCCUCAAACUAGUGUGCAAGUGACAGUCUCCAACAGGGAGUUUAAGAAGAUUCUCAAAGUUAUGGUCAAUAUAUCAUGUAAAAUUUGGGCAAAGAAAUUAGACAAUGCACUUUGGGCAUACAGAGUAACAAUUAAGACUCCAAUUGGCACGUCUCCAUAUAGGCUCGUAGGCUUGUCAUUUUUCGGCUGAGCCAAAGCAUAAGGCAUAUUGGGCGACACACUUGCUCAAUUUCAAUACGAGGACAACAGGAGUAAAAAAGGGUUCUACAACUUCACGAGCUUGAUGAGUUUCGAUUAGGUUCAUCUGAAAAUGCAAAGAUUUACAAGGAAAAGACCAAGAGAUUGCCAUGAUAAGUAUGUAAGGGAUAAGGAGUUUGAGGUUGGCGAGCGAGUGUUGAUUUUCAAUUUACGCCUUAAUUUUGGUAAAGCUAAAGUCUAGGUGGUUGGAUCCCUUCACAAUGGUAUCCUUGUUUUUAUAUGAAUGAAAGAGGUAAGAGUAAGGGAAAUAAGUGAGAAAAGGGGCUCAAUUGCAUCAAAUACAAAGUUUGGCAACUAAAAUAUAAUAAUUCAAACUUUGGGUAAGAUUACAAAAUGAAGAUUCGAGAUUGCAAGAACUUAUUUGGACAAAAAAAAUAAGCGAAAGAGCAAAAAACAAUGAAGAAGGACGAAACGAAGAUCUUGAAGAAAGUUUAAAGGCCAAGUUAAGGCAAGCCAAGGCGCACCUCAAACACAAAACGGGGUGCUCCAAGGUAGUAAGGCCAAACUGUAAACUAGGGCGUGAACCUCAGUGUAAAACAGGAAAAAAAUCUCUCUUUCUUUAUUCUAUUUUGGUAAGCAAUCUCUUUGGCAUUCUAUAAAUAAUAGAGCAAGUCCAGAACAAAGGUAGGCAAAUUUUGAGAAACAUCAAAGAACGAAAUAUUCAUCGUUGGAUCUUGAUAUGAAGGCUUUAAUUGAAGAAUUCUAGAUUUUCUUCAUAAUUUAAUGAUUCGAGUGAUGGCUUCUUCUUUUUUUGUGUAAUUCUUGCAUUAAUAUGUUAGGCUAAAUUUCUUUGUAUUGGAUAUGUUAGAUUUUGUGUUGGCUAUUCUGUGAACAAAAGGGUAAAAUUGUAAAUGUUCAAAAGUUUGGGGUCAAUGUGUCAAUGUUUAAAGGUUAGGGGUCAAUUUGUACAUGUGUAAAAGAUGAGGAACUAAGUUGUAAUUUUGUCAAAAUAUGUUAGGGUUCGAGCUAUGAAGUAGGGCAAUAUGUGUCCUUAAACUUUUGCUAGCUGUUUGCCAAGUGGUCGCUUGAGCGACAAAAACAGAAAGGUCGUCGCUCGCUUCUCGCCCCUACUUCGCUCGAGCGAAACAGCGUCGCUCACUUUUCGCUUGAGCGACGGUGUUAUCUAGAAAGCCCUAAUUUUCAUUUUUCGACAUUUUGGCCUGACCCAAAUGUCCCAAUACACUUCAUAUAAAUUAAAUUGUGCCAGUUUUCAUACGUCUCUCUUAAGGAUUGAAAUCAAAGAAAAACUCUCUACACUUGAUUCAUUCAUUCAAUCCCACAUUUGAUUUGCGCAAUCACCUAAAAAUAUCAAAUCUACAUUCAUCAAACACCACAACACAACCUUUCAGUACUUUUGUUGAUUCUUGGAGAUCAAGGAAGGAGAUCGGAGUCCCGAUCAUUAGAGAAUAGGCGGUUCUCUUGAAUCCACAAGAGAUAGAUGUAAUUAAGAGUCAGGAAUUGGUGUAGCACGCAAUCUAAAAGGGCUAGGAUCCGGGAGUUGGUACAGGAUCACACAUUCUAGGAAGGCUUUGAGGAAAUUACAGUCAGGAGGUCAGAAAAACUAGUGUAGGUUGAGUCUAACAGAUUGUAAGUUGUAUUUUCGUUUAUAGUGGAUUCCUACUGGCUUGGGCCCGGAGUUUUACCCACCUUGGGAUUUCUCUGUCAACAAACAAUUACGUUAUUUACUUUUCUGCUAUUAAUUUAUUAAUGAUAUUCAAACAUAGGAUAGUAAAGGAUGUGAACUGAUCUAGACAAAUUAAUAUUUGUGAUGUGUUGCAAUUAUUAAUUGAUUGAAAAGAAAAAUUUCGCAUAAACACCUAUUCAUCCCCUCUAGAUAUUGAUUGGGUCGAACUACGAUAUUUCAAGUGGUAUCAGAGCUAAAUCUCGAGUCCUAACCCAAGUUGUCUAGAUGAGUUAAUCACUGUCUGUGUCCCCGUAUUUUGACGGAAGCAACUAUGCCUAUUGGAAGGUUAGAAUGCGUGCUUUUCUUAAGUCCCUAUUUGAACGUGUCUGGGUGAGUGUACAAAAUGGUUGGAAACCUCCUUCCACAACUAUUUCUGGCGUUGUAACCCCAACUGACAUUUCCCUUUGAACUAAUGAUGAAUUGGCUGAUUGCAACUGGAAUAGUAAAGGUCUCCAUGCAUUAUUUAUGUCUAUGUCUCCUGAAAAGUUUAGGAGAGUGUUAAUGUGCGAAACUACUAAAGAGGUACGGGACAUUCUAGAGACAACGCAUGAGGGAACUAAAAUUGUGAAAAAUUCUAAGUUGCAAAUGUUGGCCUCAAGGUUUGAAAAAAUUAGGAUGAAGGAUGAUGAGUCUUUUGAUGAGUUCUAUGCCAAAUUGAAUGACAUUGUUAACUCUAGUUUCAAUCUAGGUGAGAGGAUUCACGAGUCCAAAAUUGUGAGAAAGGUUCUUAGGUCCUUGCCCGAUAUAUUUAGACCUAAAGUUACAGCUAUUGAAGAAAGUAAGGACCUUGACACAGUUAAGGUAGAAGAACUCGUAUGAUCCCUUCAAACCUAUGAGCUCACCAUUUCACAACCGAAGAAAAACAAGUCCAUAGCCUUGAACACAGUUAGGGAAGAGGAGUUUGAGUCAUCUGACGUGGAAACUCUUAGAGAUGAGGAAAUUGCCUAUUUUGUAAAGAAAUUUCAGGAAGCCUUAAAGGGCAAGAAAUGGCCCCAAGACAAAAAGAGAGGAGCCACUAGUAAAUUCCUAAGAGAGAAGAAUAAUAAAUCAACUGCUAGGAACCCUAAUAAGAAAUCUCAAGUGGUUAGGUGUCAUGAGUGUCAGGGAUUUGGGUACUAUAGGAAUGAAUGUUCUAGCUUUAAGAAAAAUCUAAAGAAAGGAAAGAGCAAGGCAUUAGCUGUGUCCUUGAUUGAUGAUAAUUCUAACUCAAGUGAUCAAAGUGAUUCCUCAAGCAGUGAAGAGGAAAAGGGCUAUAUGGCUUUUAUAUCUACUGUCAAGAGUGAGUCAGAUAAGGAGAGUGAGAAGGUUGAGGAGGAGUAGAGAGUAACAAGUCCCGUGAUGAUUUUGAGGAUGAGACAGAUACACAUGAGGCUUAUCAACUUCUAUUUAAGGAAAGUCUCGAGAUCAAAAAUGUAAAUAAAGCCCUAUUUAAGAAGGUAGACGAGCUUGAGAGAGAAGGGAAAAAUCAGUAAUAAUCUUCAAGUCUCAUCUAAAAAUCUCAGUGAGUUGAAGUGUGUUAAUGAGAAAUUGGAGGACAGGGUUAAGACAUUGACUUAUGAGUUAAAGAAAUCCAGUACUCAAUUGCAGUCGUUCAUGAGUGUAACAAAGAAACUAGAUGAUCUAUUAGGAAUGAACAAACCAGCUGGAAAUAGGCAAGGUCUGGGAUUUGUGAAGAGUAAUGGCAAUAUGUCUAGUUUGUCCAAGACCACAUUUGUCCCCGCUUCUAACGGGUCUAAUGUUUCAACCAAUCAAGAAUUCAAAGGCAAGAAUGUCACUGAACUGAAGGCCACUAGAGCCCGUAAGAUUUCACCUAAAUUUCAGGAUCAACACUCACGUUCAUCUAAACCCACUUGUCAUCAUUGCGGUGCUUUAGGUCAUACGAGACCUAGGUGUCGAAAGCCAGCAAAUAGGAAUAGAAGUCAGGAUAUUCCUAGUCAAGUAAACUUCCUUUCAAAUCAGGUUAGUCACUUAACUGAGAUGGUAACAAUGUUAACUAGGAUCACCUCAACCUCUAGAAAAGUUUGGGUAAAGAAAUAUGAUGUGGGUGAGUAUGGUGAGAAUCUAAAAUGUUUUGUUGCUCAUGUAGCGUAUAAGGCUCAAAUACAUGCAUGUGGUAUCUUGAUAGUGAUUGUUCUAGACACAUGUGUGGUAACAAGGUCUUAUUCUCUACCUUUGAUUACUGCAACGGUGGUGUAAUUACCUUUGGGGACAAAGCUAGGGCACCCAUCCGAGGUAAAGGCUCCAUCACCAUUUUUGGACUUCCUACAAUAUUUAAUGUGCUUUAUGUAGAGGGUCUUAAGUCCAACUUGUUGAGCAUUAGUCAAAUCUAUAAUGCUGACUAUAAAGUGAGUUUUGUCCAAAAGAGAUGCACUGUUUAUGACCAUUCAGGCGGUGGUGUUCUUGAAGAUAUUAGAACAUCUGAUAACUGUUAUGAAGUUCUCCGAAACUUGAAAUAUGUGUGCAUUAGUGCUAAAAUUGAUAUGUCUGAACUUUGGCAUCAAAGGCUUGGUCAUUUAAUUAUAGAAGUCUGUCUAAUUUGGUCAAAAAGAAGAUUGUCGAUGGUCUACCUAAAAUUGAUCAAAGUGAAAAUGUUGUGUGCAGGCAGUGUCAACAAGGAAAGUAACUCAGGAUAAAUCAUAAGCAAACCUCGAAAAUCUUGACAAAUAGAUCCUUAGGCUUCUCUAUAUGGAUAUAAUGGGACCAUCUAGAGUGGAGAGCUUAGGAGGCAAACGGUAUAUUCUGAUUGUGGUAGAUGACUUUUCCAGAUACACCUGGAUUGAACUGUUAAGAGAAAAAUCUGAGACGGGUGAUCUGGUUAAUUCCUUAUGUAAAAGACUCAAAAUUGAACAAAAUCUUUCCAUUUCUAGGAUUCGAAGUGAUCAUGGGAAAGAAUUUGAAAACUUCAAUCUUGAAAACUUUUGCUUGGAGGAGGGGAUUAAGCAUGAGUUCUUCUCACCAAUCACUCCAAAGCAAAAUGGAGUUGUUGAGAGAAAGAAUAUAGUGCUUCAAGUUCACGACCAGGAUCUAGCAAUGCAUUUUUGGGGUGAAGCCAUUAACACUGCUUGCCACAUAGUAAAUAGGGCAUACUGAGAUCGAAAAUAGACAAGAUUCCCUAAGAGAUCUGGAAGGGCAAGAAGCCUACUGUUAAAUACUUUCGUAUGUUUGGCAGCAAGUGUUACACUCUGAGGGAUAGAGAAAAUCUAGGCAAGUUUGAUUCCAAAAGUGAUGAUGGGGUUUUUCUAGGAUAUUCUGAGAACAGUAGAGCCUACCGAGUUGACAACUUGCGUACUCAAAGUGUCAUGGAAUCUGUAAAUGUUGUUGUUGAUGAUGCUUUCAUUGAGGGGGAGAGUGCUGAAAAUGGGCUAGAUGUAGAAGAUCUAAGUGAUGAUCAAAGAGCCACUGCCAAAAAUAAAGAGCAAUCAAUUCCAAAAUCUCCAUGCUCCCCUGAAGGUGUAGACAUCUCUGAUCAGGGUCUACCAAAUUGUGAUCAAUCUAAGCUUCAUAGAGAACCAUCUUCUAGGGUCAAAUCUAAUCAUCAUAAGGUUAACAUCAUUGAGGCUUAUAAAGGUAUGAGGUUACGAAAAAGAGUUCUAAAUAACCUAACAUAUACUAGCUAUGCAUCCCAAAUUGAACCCAAGAAAGUAGAGGAAGCCCUUAGAGAUGAAUGUUGGGUGAAUGCCAUGCAUGAUGAGCUUAAUAAAUUUGUUCAAAGUAAUGUUUGGUAUCUAGUUCCUAGGUUUGAUGAUUGUAAUGUGAUAGGUAAUAAGUGGAUUUUAAAGAACAAAACUGAUGACCAAGGUACCAUAACUAGAAAUAAGGCUACACUAGUUGCCCAGGGGUACACUCAGGUUGAAAGGGUAGAUUUUGAUGAGACAUUUGCCCCUGUUGCUCAUCUUGAGUCCAUUCACAUUCGUCUUGCGAUUGCUUGUACUUUAAGGUUCAAGUUAUAUCAAAUGAAUGUCAAGAGUGCAUUCUUAAAUGGAGUAUUGCAAGAAGAGGCGUAUGUUG
rnacentral:lncRNA from 1 species